rnacentral:rRNA from 1 species
CAUGCAGUCGUACGUGAAAGCUUCCUUCGGGAAGCAAGUAAAGUGGCGCACGGGUGAGUAACACGUGGAUAAUCUGCCCAGUAAUCAGGGAUAACAUCUCGAAAGAGAUGCUAAUACCUGAUAAGCCCACGAUCUCUUCGGAGAACGAGGGAAAAGGUGGGGACCUUCGGGCCUGCCGUUACUGGAUGAGUCCGCGGCCCAUUAGCUAGUUGGUAGGGUAAUGGCCUACCAAGGCUACGAUGGGUAGCUGGUCUGAGAGGAUGAUCAGCCACACUGGAACUGAGACACGGUCCAGACUCCUACGGGAGGCAGCAGUGGGGAAUUUUGCGCAAUGGGCGGAAGCCUGACGCAGCAAUACCGCGUGAGUGAUGAAGGCUCUCGGGUCGUAAAGCUCUGUCAGAGGGGAAGAACCUCCUGUCGCCUAAUACGCGGCAGGCCUGACGGUACCCUCAGAGGAAGCACCGGCUAACUCCGUGCCAGCAGCCGCGGUAAUACGGAGGGUGCAAACGUUGUUCGGAAUUAUUGGGCGUAAAGAGCAUGUAGGCGGUUGUUUAAGUCUGAUGUGAAAGCCCUGGGCUCAACCCAGGAAGUGCAUUGGAUACUGGACAACUUGAGUACGGGAGAGGAAAGUGGAAUUUCGAGUGUAGGGGUGAAAUCCGUAGAUAUUCGAAGGAACACCAGUGGCGAAGGCGGCUUUCUGGACCGAUACUGACGCUGAGACAUGCAGUCGCAUGCAGUCGCAUGCAGUCGAUA